rnacentral:rRNA from 1 species
AAACUGCGAAUGGCUCAUUAAAUCAGUUAUCGUUUAUUUGAUAGUACCUCACUACAUGGAUAACCGUGGUAAUUCUAGAGCUAAUACAUGCUAAAAACCCCGACUCACGAAGGGGUGUAUUUAUUAGAUAAAAAACCAAUGCCCUUCGGGGCUCCUUGGUGAAUCAUGAUAACUUAACGAAUCGCAUGGCCUUGCGCCGGCGAUGGUUCAUUCAAAUUUCUGCCCUAUCAACUUUCGAUGGUAGGAUAGUGGCCUACCAUGGUCUCAACGGGUAACGGGGAAUUAGGGUUCGACUCCGGAGAGGGAGCCUGAGAAACGGCUACCACAUCCAAGGAAGGCAGCAGGCGCGCAAAUUACCCAAUCCCGACACGGGGAGGUAGUGACAAUAAAUACUGAUACAGGGCUCUUUUGGGUCUUGUAAUUGGAAUGAGUACAAUUUAAAUCCCUUAACGAGGAACAAUUGGAGGGCAAGUCUGGUGCCAGCAGCCGCGGUAAUUCCAGCUCCAAUAGCGUAUAUUAAAGUUGUUGCAGUUAAAAAGCUCGUAGUUGAACCUUGGGCCUGGCUGGCCGGUCCGCCUCACCGCGUGUACUGGUCCGGCCGGGCCUUUCCUUCUGGGGAGCCGCAUGCCCUUCACUGGGCGUGUCGGGGAACCAGGACUUUUACUUUGAAAAAAUUAGAGUGUUCAAAGCAGGCCUUUGCUCGAAUACAUUAGCAUGGAAUAAUAGAAUAGGACGUGUGGUUCUAUUUUGUUGGUUUCUAGGACCGCCGUAAUGAUUAAUAGGGAUAGUCGGGGCCGUCCGUAUUCAAUUGUCAGAGGUGAAAUUCUUGGAUUUAUUGAAGACGAACUACUGCGAAAGCAUUCGGCAAGGAUGUUUUCAUUAAUCAGUGAACGAAAGUUAGGGGAUCGAAGACGAUCAGAUACCGUCGUAGUCUUAACCAUAAACUAUGCCGACUAGGGAUCGGUGGUGUGUUAUUAUUUUGCCUCAUCGGCAACCUUACGAGAAAUCAAAGUAUU